rnacentral:rRNA from 1 species
AGAGUUUGAUCCUGGCUCAGGAUGAACGCUGGCGGCGUGCCUAAUACAUGCAAGUCGAGCGAACGGACGAGAAGCUUGCUUCUCUGAUGUUAGCGGCGGACGGGUGAGUAACACGUGGAUAACCUACCUAUAAGACUGGGAUAACUUCGGGAAACCGGAGCUAAUACCGGAUAAUAUUUUGAACCGCAUGGUUCAAAAGUGAAAGACGGUCUUGCUGUCACUUAUAGAUGGAUCCGCGCUGCAUUAGCUAGUUGGUAAGGUAACGGCUUACCAAGGCAACGAUGCAUAGCCGACCUGAGAGGGUGAUCGGCCACACUGGAACUGAGACACGGUCCAGACUCCUACGGGAGGCAGCAGUAGGGAAUCUUCCGCAAUGGGCGAAAGCCUGACGGAGCAACGCCGCGUGAGUGAUGAAGGUCUUCGGAUCGUAAAACUCUGUUAUUAGGGAAGAACAUAUGUGUAAGUAACUGUGCACAUCUUGACGGUACCUAAUCAGAAAGCCACGGCUAACUACGUGCCAGCAGCCGCGGUAAUACGUAGGUGGCAAGCGUUAUCCGGAAUUAUUGGGCGUAAAGCGCGCGUAGGCGGUUUUUUAAGUCUGAUGUGAAAGCCCACGGCUCAACCGUGGAGGGUCAUUGGAAACUGGAAAACUUGAGUGCAGAAGAGGAAAGUGGAAUUCCAUGUGUAGCGGUGAAAUGCGCAGAGAUAUGGAGGAACACCAGUGGCGAAGGCGACUUUCUGGUCUGUAACUGACGCUGAUGUGCGAAAGCGUGGGGAUCAAACAGGAUUAGAUACCCUGGUAGUCCACGCCGUAAACGAUGAGUGCUAAGUGUUAGGGGGUUUCCGCCCCUUAGUGCUGCAGCUAACGCAUUAAGCACUCCGCCUGGGGAGUACGACCGCAAGGUUGAAACUCAAAGGAAUUGACGGGGACCCGCACAAGCGGUGGAGCAUGUGGUUUAAUUCGAAGCAACGCGAAGAACCUUACCAAAUCUUGACAUCCUUUGACAACUCUAGAGAUAGAGCUUUCCCCUUCGGGGGACAAAGUGACAGGUGGUGCAUGGUUGUCGUCAGCUCGUGUCGUGAGAUGU